CGUACACUCCUGCGGGAGGCAGCAGUGGGGAAUAUUGGACAAUGGGCGCAAGCCUGAUCCAGCCAUGCCGCGUGAGUGAUGAAGGCCCUAGGGUUGUAAAGCUCUUUCACCGGUGAAGAUAAUGACGGUAACCGGAGAAGAAGCCCCGGCUAACUUCGUGCCAGCAGCCGCGGUAAUACGAAGGGGGCUAGCGUUGUUCGGAUUUACUGGGCGUAAAGCGCACGUAGGCGGACUAUUAAGUCAGGGGUGAAAUCCCGGGGCUCAACCCCGGAACUGCCUUUGAUACUGGUAGUCUUGAGUUCGAGAGAGGUGAGUGGAAUUCCGAGUGUAGAGGUGAAAUUCGUAGAUAUCCGGAGGAACACCAGUGGCGAAGGCGGCUCACUGGCUCGAUACUGACGCUGAGGUGCGAAAGCGUGGGGAGCAAACAGGAUUAGAAACCCGGGUAGUCCCA
rnacentral:rRNA from 1 species